rnacentral:rRNA from 1 species
UACAGAGGUCUCAACCGUUGUUCGGAUUCAUUGGGCGUAAAGGGUGCGUAGGCGGCGCGGUAAGUCGGAUGUGAAAUCUCGGAGCUUAACUUCGAAACUGCAUUCGAUACUGCCGUGCUUGAGGACUGGAGAGGAGACUGGAAUUUACGGUGUAGCGGUGAAAUGCGUAGAUAUCGUAAGGAAGACCGGUGGCGAAGGCGGGUCUCUGGACAGUUCCUGACGCUGAGGCACGAAGGCGAGGGGAGCAAACGGG